rnacentral:rRNA from 1 species
UACGAAGGGGGCUAGCGUUGCUCGGAAUGACUGGGCGUAAAGGGCGCGUAGGCGGUGAACACAGUUAGGCGUGAAAUUCCCGGGCUCAACCUGGGGGCUGCGUUUAAUACAUGUUCGCUUGAGUUCGGAAGAGGGUCGUGGAAUUCCCAGUGUAGAGGUGAAAUUCGUAGAUAUUCGCAAGAACACCAGUGGCGAAGGCGGCUCACUGGCCCGGUACUGACGCUGAGGUGCGAAAGCGUGGGGAGCAAACAGG